rnacentral:rRNA from 1 species
AACGAACGUUGGCGGCGUGGAUGAGGCAUGCAAGUCGAACGUGAAAGCCGCAAGGUGAGUAGCGUGGCGGACGGGCGAGUAACACGUAAUCAAGCUGCCUGCGAGACGGGGAUAACUUCGGGAAACCGAAGCUAAGACCCGAUGGUCUACCGAGACUGCAUGGUUUUGGUAGUAAAUGGGCGGGAUCCUCCGGGAUCGCCUGCUCGCAGAGGUGAUUGCGGCCCAUCAGCUAGUUGGUAGGGUAACGGCCUACCAAGGCAACGACGGGUAGCCGGCCUAAGAGGGUGGUCGGCCGCACUGGGACUGAGACACUGCCCAGACUCCUACGGGAGGCUGCAGUCGAGAAUCUUCCGCAAUGGGCGAAAGCCUGACGGAGCGACGCCGCGUGGAGGACGAAGGCC